rnacentral:lncRNA from 1 species
UAUGUUAGGUUAUGUUACAUUGUUUUGGUGCUUUUUAGUUGUUUUGAAGAAAAAGACGCAUAUUUUGAUUAAACUAUGAGUUUUCGUAAAGAUAUUCUUAUUUUUUAAAUUAUUUGCAUCCCGGACAAGGGAAAAAAUGCAAAUUAACGGAUUAUCCUCUAGAUUAACCAAGUUUUUACUGAAAACUGCACCCUAGUAGUACCCCUUUACCUGUCAGGUAUUUUUUUUUCAUGUUUUCUUGUCAGUUGUCAGCUUGAGGAACCAACAUCCCUCCAAGCGUUUAGGCCCCAAAAGUCAAAAUUUCAGCGUUUUAACACAACAAUGCAGAAUAUACACCGCCCAUUGAGGUUUGUGCCGCAAUACAGCAGAUUUCUAUCAAGUAAACCUCAAUUAAAAGCUGUAUGUGCUGUUGACAAAAAUAAACAGGUGAUUACCAAUAAUGGAGAUUUGGCAAAGAUUCUGAAGGCUCGUGCAGGUUCGAAGCAGUAUGAGCCUUGUAUAGUUAGGAAUAGCGGUAUUAUGUGUAGUGCCAAAACCCCCUCGAGAAAAGUUGACGAGGAGUCCAUCGUAUUUAAGCAGUACAGGCUCCUGGAGACUUUGAAAGGUAAACUGAGUGAAGAAAAUGCCUUAAGGCAAGCAGAAAUUAGGAGACAACGCGAGGCAAUAAAUGAAAAUUUGAAACUUUGUGCAGAAAUUGACACAAAACUGCAGACAUUCUUUUGAAAACAAGAACAAAAUGGGCAGCAUUGUCUAGGUUCUUGUACUUAAAUAAUUAAAAAAAGAAAUAAAACACAUUAUAAUUUGCAUUAAACAUUUAUUUGAGCAUUUGGGCAUCAUGUUAAUAUGGCACAGUGGCCUUAAGAUUUUUGGAAAUCGUGUCUAAGAGCAGGGACACUUUCAGGUAACUCGGACCAUAACUCCACUUCUGGU